AAAAACAUGGCCUUUUGAUUUUAAUUUAAGGUCUAACCUGCUCAAUGAAUUUUAAAUAGCCGCAGUACUCUGACUGUGCAAAGGUAGCAUAAUCAUUAGUUUUUUAAUUGAAAGCUGGAAUGAAAGGUUGAAUGAGAAAAUAUCUGUCUCUAUAAAAAUUUUAUAGAAUUUUAUUUUUAAGUAAAAAAGCUUAAAUAAUAAUAAAAGACGAGAAGACCCUAUAGAGUUUUAUAUUUAAAAAUAAUGAUUUUUUUUCAGUAUUUUAAAACUCAUUUUUUAUUGUAAUAUUUAGUUGGGGUGAUUGGAAAAUUAAAUAAACUUUUCUUUUAAAAUUACAUUUAUAUAUGAAAUUAUGAUCCUUAUGUAGAGAUUAUAAGAUAAAAUUACCUUAGGGAUAACAGCGUAAUUUUUUUUGAGAGUUCAUAUCGAAAAAAGAGAUUGCGACCUCGAUGUUGGAUUAAAAUUAAUUUUUGGUGUAGAAGCUAAAUAAAUUAGGUCUGUUCGACCUUUAAAAUUUUACUUGAUCUGAGUU
rnacentral:rRNA from 1 species